rnacentral:tRNA from 1 species
GUAAAAUUAGUUUAAAUUAAAAAUAGUAAAUUGUGGUUUUACAGUUGUAUAUAUUUUACAUUUUACU